rnacentral:tRNA from 1 species
AGGGGCGUAGUUAAAUGGUAUAACAGCGGUCUCCAAAACCGCUAUCGCGGGUUCGAUUCCUGCCGCCCCUGCCA